CCUCUCAUUGUGCGGCAUCUCUGCAGCUCUGCAUUGCCUGCUUCGCUGCUCUUCUUUCCCCAGUGGCACCGCAUUUGUAUUGAAGCGUCGCCGAACAAGUGUCACCUGUCCCAGCAGCACCAACUGUAACGUGCAGACCGAGUCGUCUGCAGAGGAAGACCCGCGCUUCACUGCGCGUGACUGGUGCUGAGGCAGCCUGCUACUGCGUCUUCAUUGCGCUCGCAUAGUUUUCUGCCACUCCUUCCCGUCACGGCGUGGUGGGGUCUUGCCAACCCGCUCCCUUUGUUGCGCGCCGCCCCCUCCCCUCCCUUCCCUUCUCUGGGUUGCUUACGGCGGCACCUUAACCCCUCUCCUCACGCCUCUUUGUAUUAUAUGUGGUCUUCGUUUUCGCUGCAUACGUGCGCACAGGUUCUCUCAUCUUCGUUUCGCUGGCGCAUCGUUCUUUACGUGUUGGUAUCACUAUUGGGUGGCUUUGCCGCCGAACCCCUCAAACGCGCAGCCGGACGCGUAAGCCCGAAAGGGCAGUUGUGUAAGCGUCGUCGAAUCCUUUCACCGGGUGUGCGACCACCUCAUUCCACUCACCUCCCGUUCCCGUGGGCGAACAGCUGUUUGCCGCACAGCUCCACGGAGGCCACCCCCUCCAGCCGCCUGUCUCGUCACCCUCUUCUCUAUCUUACAGUUUGCGUGGCGCAAAACUGACGGGCCCACGCACACGCCUCGAUCGUGAAGUAUGGCAAGUACUGAAACCGUUUGGGAUGGCGCUUGCCUGCUCCUCGCUACCGAUGUGGCAGGGGUGCUCCACUGCUACCAGUACACGACGGAGAAGGUGAGCGACGGUAGCACCGACAAUGACGAUGAGCGCGUUGCCGUCUUGACACACCUUUGGUCGCACAGCCUUGGAGACGAAGACGUGCCGUCCGAGUUGGUGGCGGCGGCUGAUGGCGGUACUAGUCCAACGGCGUCCUCGAUUGCUGCAUCCGCGAAAGCUGAACGGGACGCGCGCGCUGGCUUUAAAUGUGCGCUUUCAAAGCGCCUUCGCCUUCUAGAGCCUGCCUCGACCAUGCUCGCUCGGUGGGCAGCGGCGGAAGGGCCGCGUGCAUCGGGUGAGCACCGAGAUAUCUCCUCUGCAUCACCCAAGUCGGGUUUUACUGAGGGGCAUAGUCGCGUCAACGGUGGCGAUGCGGACGGAGCUUGUGACACUGCCGCCCGAGGCACCAGGGAGGGAAAGAUCGACGGGAUUCCUCCAGUUGCGGCAGCCCACCAUUUUGGGCUGCAGGCAAUCGGCGCGUCGUGCCCGUUCUGCAAACGUGUGUCUUUCUCAUCUUCGUCACCGUCUCCGGCGUUCACCUCGCCCUACUCACCCUGCACGCCCCGAUUCGCCAGCACCUCGGCUGCCACCGCCACUCAAAAGCCGACAUGUGCAACAACGUCGGCUACCACCUCAUUGCUCUGUAGCAGCACAGCCGGCCGAGCCGCGAUCGUGCGUAGACGGAGUGAAGUGCGGGAAGAAACUGUCGGGGAUCGCCGUGUUAGCGAUGCUAGCGGCGACAACUUCUUUCGGCCCUGCGACUUUAUGGCUCGAAUUCCGGAGGCGGCCUACAGCGGCUUUAAUGCGAGCGCGAAAGCUCGGCCGGCGGCGGCGGCAGGCUCGAUCACGCCUGUGGACCUUGCAGCACCGACAGUGGGGUGCGCGUCCAGUCAACUUGCCGAGGUCGCGUGGUACUGGCGCUGCCCACGCUGUGUUGUCGAUGCACGCGCGACACCCGACGGUGGCGGCAGUGACGCCAAACGUGCGUCGCACAGAUACUUUGUUAGCGAGGAGGAAGCGGGUCAGCUAAGUCGUGAUGACACGGCGAUGGAAACAGGUGAUUUGGCCGAGGUUGCCGCAACGGCGCACUUAUGGAUGCCCUUGCCGGAGGCAGUGCGGCAUUGGAAUGCCGUCUGCUGUCAUCAUCACCGACUGUUACUCUUGCGCCACAUGGAGGAGGGAUACAUCGAGCUGGACUUGUUCACAGGGGCAUCACUUGAUAGCAUUUAUAUGAAAGCUGACAUGAAGGCGGCGGUAUCAGCGGAGAUGCUGGACUCGACAUCGUCUUUCGACAUCUCUGCUCACAGUAUCUACUCGUCCGUCAGUGAUGGCAGCGGCACCGAGGUGAGCCAUGACAGCUGUGCUAGCAUCUCUGAUGCGAAUGGCGACGGGCUACCGCGUGCGGUGCUGUCGCUGACAACACAGCGCUAUGAGACACUGAUCAUGCAGGCGACAGUGUCCCGCUCCUCAGCGAAGGUCACCAAGGGGAGGAAGACAAGGAAGGAAACGAUGACCGCUCCGAUACAGAAAGCAGCUCACACGUGCCUAGCAAAGCUGGCAGCACCAGCGAUUCAGCUCGGCCUGACAUGGCACGCGCCCAGACAGCGCGUACGCAAAGACCUUUCGUUCUCCGAUGCCGAUGAUGAGGCUGUGGUGGAGAGGCAGCAGGGCGAAGCAGAGCUGCUUGCCACGUCUCAAGUGCCGGCUGUGCUAUCAUUCUCGUCGGUCAGCAGCGAGAACACGUUGCACCACGGUAGCACAAGUGCGUCGGACAUCGACAUGGACGUAAUGGCGGGCCGCAAGCAACUCCCCCCGCAGUACCACUUUCUCCGCGCAGUCAGUCCUGCACCGUCGUCAUCUGCCAUCUCGGCAACCUCACCGAGAGGCAUCCGCAAUGAACCAACGAAGUGGUCGAGAGAAAAGCCUGCGAGGCCCAAGUAUGCGGGCACUGACAGGAGUGCGGAGUCAUCCGCGGGGCGCGAAGCAGUGCCGAAUGAAAUCCCAGUGCGGUGCGGGCCGGGCGGAUGCGUGUACAGAGCCGUGAGUGCAACGCUCGACAGCUUUACCGCCGCCGGAAACGGUGAUUCGGCACCUCUUCAGUUUCUUCUUCUCCUGCAGCUGCCUCUACCUCUUGUGGAGGCAUUCUGGGUGACACUACCGUCAUCCUCUGCAUCGGGGUGCUCACAGAACGGCGGCGACGCGGCGUUUCGGCGCCGCGCAGGUGAGCGAUCUAUGUCCGCCGUCGAGCUGCGGCGUGUUCCAUGGCUUCCACGUGACGCUUGCAGUCUUAGGGUUGUCGAGGUUGCGGCUGGCGCACCGAUAAGUGCCUCCAGCGCAUCGGAGGCGCGAACGACUCUGCGUGGAUUUGUCCUUGAGGCGUCAGAGGUACCCUCGGCGCGGCGUGCGAUGUCUACCGGGCUCCCACGUGUCUUGCGUGCGCUUUCUGCCUAUGACGUGUUUAGCGCUAGGAGGGCGACUGUGCGUAGCGCCUGGCUUGCGCGCGAUAGACGGGGUGACUGCGGCCCGUUUAGCGCUUCGUCCGACGCAGGGGAACGCGAGCGGGCUGCUGAAGCGGCAGCAGCCCCGGAGCAUCGCAAUGGCACCCGCGCCGUACACACCAAAAGCUUUUCCACACCCUUUCCCUACGAGAGCAAAGAGACGAGCAGCAGCAUCACUCACAUCAUCAGCUCGCCGCCGCGUCAUUACAUCCCGGCAGCUAGUUUCUUCGACGAAAACUUCGAGCCGCUCAUGCUGCUUGGCCGCGGCGUCGGUGGGGCGGUGCUGCUCGCGCGACAUCGCUUCACCGGUGUCUUCUACGCCAUCAAGGUGCUGGUCGCCCGCGACUACGAUAGUGAGCGCGAUAUUCUGCAGGAGGUGCGGAUUCAUGCGAUGUUGGAGAAUCGUCACCUGGUGCGCUACCACACCUGCUGGUCCGAGGUCAUUUCCGCCACUCGUGCGCAGCAGCUAGCGUUCAUCGGUGUGUGCCACCCGUACGAGGCAAAUUUGGGGCGCUGCAAGCGACUCAACUCUGCAUCCUCUUCCAUGCCCAUGACGACUCGGCAGAGCGCACGCGACGGCGCCUCGCAUUCUCCCACCAACUCAGACGGAGACAUGCUCAACAGGUCGCAGUCACGCGGUGCACCAGGUGGGUGGCGUCACCUAAUACUCCCAAGCCUUUCGAGCAUGAUGCUUGUGGGAAGCGAUUCAACAAGUGGGGCGGUAACGCCGGAAAAGACGCCGAUGCGAUCGCAUCCGCAACUCCGCGGCGACGGCCGGAGACGGCUCAUCGUGGACGGAUUCGCUGACGAUUUGACGGACGAUGACGGGGACGCGAUGCCUGUGGGCCAGGCGGAGAAGCGGCAGGGCGCGGCAGAUGAUUGUUUGAGGCACUCGGGCAAAGGCAUCUCCCCGCCUACAAAGAUAGGGUCGCAACCAUCACGGCGCCCUCUCACCUUUUCGUCGACGGCUUCUCCGUCUGCGUGGGGCACGCGUGCUUCUCUCACUGCGCAUCGGCUACGCAAGCAGCUGCCAAUCACCUCUGUCCUCAGCCCCGGCACUUCCUCUGCCGCCUCGAACAGCGUGAGUGGCACCACUGUUCAGGGCGUCGCCGGCAGCGAGGGAGAAGAUCUUGAGUCCAUUUGGGAUGACGCUCAAGGGUCUGACAGCGACCGUAGCGAGGGUAGCGGCGAUAGCUACGGCAGCAGCCAGCGGCCUGAGGAGAACACCAUCAUUGGCACACGCGUGGUAUUCCUGCAGAUGGAGCUGUGCCAGGGGACUCUGGCUCAGUACCUCGCUUCUCGCACUUCCAUUGAUCGCGUGGAAAACUUGAUCAUCGCCAUGCAGGUUGUGGCGGGGCUGCGGUACCUGCACCAUCGCGGCAUCCUGCACCGGGAUGUGAAGCCGACGAAUGUCUUCAUGAAUUACCGGUGCCAGUACCACAAGGAAGUCCAUCAGACGAAUUUGUCGAGCACGAGCGGUGCGGAUGACGGCUCUGAGGAUGAGGAUGACACGAGGAGUUUCUGGGGGUUUCCAGGGUCCGCGACCUCGCACUCUGGCGCUUCGGCAGCGUGGCACGGUGAUCGUGGCAAUGAGGCCUGUGCACCUUCCCCGUCUUCAACUCUUACCUUGUGUCGGCGUCACCCGAGCUCCUGCCCGCCGACGCUUGCGUCCAGUGGCUGCGGCCCGAGCGUGUCUUGUGCACCGCGGCGAUCUUCAAUGGUCCCCCCUGGCAUGCAGGAACUGUUCCGUGCUGCUUCCUCUCUCACGUCCGGUUGGAAGGCGGAGACGACCAUGACUUCGCUGGAUAACUUGCCUUCAUGGGAUGGCGAGCGGGCAGCGCUCGAUUUUGUCAUGCACCCGCCACACCGCACGGCUACUGAGAUGCUGCAGGAGCGACUGCUUCGGCGGCCACCACCCCCAGCGGCUCGUCAGCGCGCCAGCUCGAAGUGCAAGUUGAUGAAGGAGGAAAUGACCGCCGCGGAUGCGACUAUGCCGCUUGUGCAGUCUGAUGGUGGUCGACACUUUCUUCGCCGUCUAGCGAGUUGGCUGCUUCGCCGCUUCGUGCAGGUACAGCUGGGCGAUUUGGGGCUCGCUAAGUUCUUGUACCAGCAGGAGCUGCGCGUGGACGGUUUUGUUUCCAUGAACGCGAUCAACACGAUCGGCGUCGGCUCCCCGCUCUACGCGAGCCCAGAGCAGCUCAAGGGCAACCGGUGCACGCCUGCCUCAGACGCCUUUUCGGUCGGCGUUGUGCUAGCGGAGAUGUACCUUCAGCCCAAGACCACCGCGGAACGCUUGACGGUGCUGCGUGAGGUGCGCGAGGGGGUCUACCGCGACAAGGUGCUGCUUGCCCAGUUCCCUGAGCUGAAGCUGGUGCGGCGCUUAACUGAGGCACAGCCAGAGUGCCGCAUGACACUCGCGGCGGUCCACAAAGCCCUCAGAUCCUUUCUCGAACAAGCACUACAAGACGAGUUGUACCGCCACUACGAGCAGCACAGUUGACGGCCCUUCUGUGCAGCCGUGCAAAGAGACACUGCGCGUAGACGGCAAGACGGAGGCGCGUAGCGGUGGAUGUGGUAAGUCAAGUGGGAGGGAGAAUGGCGGUGGUGUUGUUCUUGCGUUUGUAUAAGAGCCGCAAGUACGCGCUGCAGUUCCGGAGGUGCGCGCGCGUGUGGGUGUGCACGCAGCCGCGCGCUUCUCUCCGUACCCUUCUUUCUUUCUCACUUUCCCGUUGCAGGGCCCCGUGCGCGUUUCCGCAGUGCGUGCGCCACUGCGGACUGCUGCUGAUAGACAUCGAAGCUAAAGGGCGUGACGCAUGCGCCACAUAACAGAAGAACAAAAAGAGGAACCGUGGCCACGGUGACCGCAGAGGCGUACUUCGUGCAUGCUGAAGAGAGAAGAUUAUGGCAAGGGGCCACUUCGGCUUUCCUCACCACGCCAUUUCCUGCAAGGAGGAAGCAGAACGAAAAAGGCCUCUGCCGCGUGUCUCUCUCUCAAUGACCACCGCAUGACCCCACCACCACACACUCCCUUCCCAUCUCCCCGCUGCUGCUUUCACGUUGUGGUCUGUGUAACCGGUGCACCUCUCUGAGAAAGGUCGGCGCACGCGCGUGCGCGGCGUUUCUCAGCACAUUCGUUUCCUUCCUUGGACCUGGUCUCCUUCCCGUUUUGCACGGGCCCUCGCCCCAUGCUGCGUAUCCGUCAUCCUCGCCUGGGCCGCCAACGUCAACCUUCCUCCCUCUCUUUCUUCCCGCCCCUGGCCCUCUCCUCCUCGUUCAG
rnacentral:misc_RNA from 1 species